rnacentral:rRNA from 1 species
AUACGGAGGGUGCAAGCGUUAUUCGGAAUCACUGGGCGUAAAGGGUGCGUAGGCGGUUUGAUAAGUCUGAUGUGAAAUCCUAUGGCUCAACCAUAGAACUGCAUUGGAUACUGUCAGACUAGAAUACUGAAGGGGCAGAUGGAAUUAGUGGUGUAGGGGUAAAAUCCGUAGAUAUCACUAGGAAUACCGAAAGCGAAAGCGAUCUGCUGGGAAGUUAUUGACGCUGAGGCACGAAAGCGUGGGGAGCAAACGGGAUUAGAAACCCUAGUAGUCC